GUGUGUGCUUUCAUGAUGACCAGUUUUUUCCCCGGCAGAUCGACCAUGGUGACUGCCUGUGAAUUUAAGCCAAAUGCUUCUGAUGCACUGAA